rnacentral:rRNA from 1 species
UACGAGGGGGGCAAGCGUUGUUCGGAAUUAUUGGGCGUAAAGGGUGCGUAGGCGGGCCACCAAGUCCGGGGUGAAAUCCUCCAGCUUAACUGGAGAAUAGCCCUGGAUACUGGUGAUCUCGAGGGAGGUAGGGGCAGCUGGAACUUCCGGUGGAGCGGUGAAAUGCGUUGAUAUCGGAAGGAACGCCGGUGGCGAAAGCGAGCUGCUGGACCUCUUCUGACGCUGAGGCACGAAAGCCAGGGGAGCAAACGGG